rnacentral:rRNA from 1 species
UCCAGACUCCUACGGGAGGCAGCAGUGAGGAAUAUUGGUCAAUGGGCGGAAGCCUGAACCAGCCAAGUCGCGUGAGGGAAUAAGGCCCUACGGGUCGUAAACCUCUUUUGCCGGGGAGCAAGGGCGGGGACUAGUCCCCGGAUGAGGGUACCUGAAGAAAAAGCAUCGGCUAACUCCGUGCCAGCAGCCGCGGUAAUACGGAGGAUGCGAGCGUUAUCCGGAUUUAUUGGGUUUAAAGGGUGCGCAGGCGGCCUGUUAAGUCAGCGGUAAAAGCCCGGGGCUCAACCCCGUCCGGCCGUUGAAACUGGGGGCCUUGAGUGGGCGAGAAGAAGGCGGAAUGCGUGGUGUAGCGGUGAAAUGCAUAGAUAUCACGCAGAACCCCGAUUGCGAAGGCAGCCUUCCGGCGCCCUACUGACGCUGAGGCACGAAAGUGCGGGGAUCGAACAGGAUUAGAUACCCCAGUACUU